rnacentral:rRNA from 1 species
AGUGAACGCUGGCGGUAGGCCUAACACAUGCAAGUCGAACGGCAGCACAGUAAGAGCUUGCUCUUACGGGUGGCGAGUGGCGGACGGGUGAGGUAUACAUCGGAAUCUACUUUUUCGUGGGGGAUCACGUAGGGAAACUUACGCUAAUACCGCAUACGACCUACGGGUGAAAGCAGGGGAUCUUCGGACCUUGCGCGAUUGAAUGAGCCGAUGUCGGAUUAGCUAGUUGGCGGGGUAAAGGCCCACCAAGGCGACGAUCCGUAGCUGGUCUGAGAGGAUGAUCAGCCACACUGGAACUGAGACACGGUCCAGACUCCUACGGGAGGCAGCAGUGGGGAAUAUUGGACAAUGGGCGCAAGCCUGAUCCAGCCAUACCGCGUGGGUGAAGAAGGCCUUCGGGUUGUAAAGCCCUUUUGUUGGGAAAGAAAAGCAGCAGGUUAAUACCCCGCUGUUCUGACGGUACCCAAAGAAUAAGCACCGGCUAACUUCGUG